GACGAACGCUGGCGGCGUGCCUAAUACAUGCAAGUAGAACGCUGAAGGAGGAGCUUGCUUCUCUGGAUGAGUUGCGAACGGGUGAGUAACGCGUAGGUAACCUGCCCUGUAGCGGGGGAUAACUAUUGGAAACGAUAGCUAAUACCGCAUAAUAGUAGACGUUGCAUGACAUUUGCUUAAUAGGUGCAAUUGCAUCACUACCAGAUGGCCCUGCGUUGUAUUAGCUUGUUGGUGGGGUAACGGCUCACCAAGGCGACGAUACAUAGCCGACCUGAGAGGGUGGUCGGCCACACGUGGACGUGGACGCCGGCCAGGCUCCUAAGGGAAGCCGCAGUAGGGAAACUGCGGCAAUAGAGGGAAAGCUUGCCGAACAACGCCGCGUGAGUGGAGGAGGGUCUCGGAGCGGAAAGCUCUGUUGUAAGGGAAGAACGAGUGUGAGAGUGGAAAGUUCACGCUGUGACGGUAUCUUAACAGAAAGGAACGGCUAACUACGUG
rnacentral:rRNA from 1 species